AUACAUUUGACACUAUAAGGAGCUCUCUCUGCUUCUCUCCAUAGAGAGAGGAACAUUUGUGAGACAGCACACUAAUAUGGGGUCAAUGUUUUAAAUGCAGAUUUCAGCUACAGAAGCUACACCAGUGACAACUAUGAAUAUGGAUAUGACAACAAGCUUGGAAUUACAAGGUUGACAUCAAUGGCUGUAUUAAUAUGAGACAAGAUGGAAACAUAGAUGGCAUGCAAGAGGGCAACCUGCUACUUCUUUCACAUGGCAAUAACAGGAAUAAAUGGAAAUUUUUUUAAA